UAGCUUUGACGCGUCAUUAGUGUUGUGCGUGAAUAUUAUCGAUUAAAAUCAGUUUUAUAGUAUUAUUAGUGUUUGAAAUAUUUUUGAAUUUACUUAAUAUUAUUUCAUUGUGUAUAUAAUAUUGUGAAAAAUACGUGUAAAACAUUAUAUGCUAUGAAACGCGUAGUUGAACCUGUUCGAAAAAGUUUGCUGGACGUAAUCAGAAAAAAUCUUCGAGCUACUGGUAAGGUAGCCUCAUGGUCCCAGCCUGAACCACCAUCGCCUCGCUCCGCCCUUUAUCGUUGUACGCGUAAAUGCAGGCCUGGUAAAGGGCGCCCGAUUCCAAAUGGGUGACGCUGAAACGUGGCACAGGCGAUGUCAGAUUAGCACGCAAUUCCUGGCUGUUGCUCUCCCUCACUUCGAGAAGAAAGGACUGGGGUAGACCGCCGUUGAACCCCUCCGUGCAUCGCACCGAGAACGAGUUGGUCGACGUGUUCAAGGUGGUGCAAUUGUGAACCAUAUCGGGCCGACCUGAUGCAAACACCGAUGAAUUACAAAUGUGAUACCACAAGCAUCCCGAGGAUUAGAAUUACAUCCCAAGGAAUGUCGAUGUUCUGUAGACGUCUAUAACGAUAAAAACAGGGAGAUCCUCGAACAUAAUUCAGCUGUGGUUUGUCCGAUGGUUUCGAGGCCUCUCGACCUCGAAGCGCUCGUUCAUCUCGCAGCUCGUAGUUGCACGAAAAGCCGAGAUGACAUCUCGCGUAUCAACGAGGCCGGUCGUAGCCACGGCGUCACGCUGUUUGUCAUAUCGCGGGAAACGUGUGCAUAAACGGGUGUCGUGGCGGCAGCCAGAAGCGCACCGAAUCGAUAAUAUCAGGGGCCAGGAGACGCUUAACGAGAAACGCGUUAUCGGGAAAAUUAGAAAGAGAUCGAGGAAAUUAAUUUUAAUAAGAAUUGAAUUAUACUGUGUAUAUUUUUCAACCAGUUUGACCAUUAAAAUUGCGCGUGCAAAUAACGAAGAGGACUUUCUCUCGGGACAGCCGUAUAGACACUCGUUAGUUUCUUUGAACGUGGAGAAAUUAAGAGACUCAAAAAGUGGCCGAGGGGAAAGAAAAUGCGUGCAAAGAUGAGGUAGGUCAGGUGAAAUUACCAUUUAAUCCGCGAAGAACGAGUCACGUUUUGAAUACCUUGGGGGAAAAAACACGCGUAUUCAGAUGGUUCGAAUGAGAGGCGGAGGAAAAGCAUCGAGGUUCCGCUUUAAUUAUAAAAAUUACUCGGACGAAUAGAAGUGGAAUGAAAAAAAAAAAAAAAAUAUCCGGAUAUUUUCACGGAGCAUAUAGCAUCCCGCGCGACUGAUUUUAUCAACACGUUUAAUCGCACGCUUAAUUGUUUACAUUUUACAGGUAUCAAUGUAUGCACACGCGCAUUUUUAUUUUAUUCGCACGCUGAAUAUUUGAUGUUUGAUCUGCCGUUUCUGCUAAUUUAACGUUUGAUUUCUGCUACGUUUUUUUUUUCCAUUUUAACUCGACGAGAUUGGUUAUAGAUUUUACGGUACGGCGAACGAUAGUUUUGGCACGAAUUUACGAAAUUAAUUGUCAGAUUUCUGUUAAUCCAUUGGUUUCGGUGGUUGUUCGGUGAAUGUUCAACCGCGAGCAGCUUGGUUUCGAGGGGUUUCAGACUCGUGAAAUUGGAUCGUGUCUUUGCAAGAUGAUCGUGAUAUAUAAUUAGGGUAUGUUCAUGAUUAUCAUCUUCCAUAAUUAAUUUCGCGGAGAUAAAUAAUGUUUAAUUUUUUUUUAAUAGAUGACAAAAUUUUCAUUCAUAUACAUUGAAAUAGAAAAUGAAAAAAUUUUCAUUAUUAUAUCGAAUAAAUAUUUAUAGAUUGCACAAUAAAAUAAAUAUUUCCUAAGACAAAAUCUUCUCACUUUUAUUAAAAAUAGUGAAAUUCGAUUAUCACACACGAAGAUGGAAUUUUGGCAAAUGUAAUAUCCAGUGAAUCUUAAAUAUAUAUAUAUGUAUAAAAGAAUAAGCAUAAAAUGAUUUAGAUUAUAUAAAAAAAAGUAUACAAAAUUUCAAACGAAUCUCUAUCUCCAUAAUCACAGAACACGUACCUCUCUUCACGACCGAUAAUUAUCCGCAAUAUGGAGAGAUAUCGAAUCAAAGCAAACGGGGCAUAGUCGUAAUGAAAGGGUUAAAUUUAGUUCACUCGAACUGUCCUCUGGAACUUAUCAUUUCCAGAAGCUUCAAGUUUCCACGCCCGUGAAUAAAGGUCAACCCACCACGACCAUUGCACCCCAAGCAAUUUCUCCUGUUAUCGACGUUAAUAACGUGCAAUCUACUGUCUACCGUGAAUCGAGUUAUUUCGUUAUCGAUUUCUCGAUAUAAUAAAUAGAUAGUUUAUAUUUUCCAACGUAUUUUUAGAACGCGUUUCACGCUCACCCAUAAAAGUAUUCGAGGAAUGUGUGAUCGCGAAAAAGGUGGACCCUGUAUAUUUUCCGUGUACCGCGAGCUGAAAGAGCAGUUUGUCCUUUUCGCCUUCGCAAUAACGCGAAAUGAAAGAAGCCAGACGGCGGGGGAGCGCAGUUGGAACGGGCGCGGUAAGUGCUCCUUUUUGCGGUGAUUCUUCUUCGGGUGUCAAAUUUUCUUUCUACUCCCUUCUUCUCUCGGGACACGGUUGAAAUUGUCGUAUCGAUCGAUCGGGAUACGAUCAAGGAGAUGAGGAUGAAGCAAGAUAUUAGUAACCGAGGAAAUAUUAUUACAAAGUUAAAUAUUUAAUUUAAUAUUCUCGAAUAUUUGGGAUUAAAAUUAAAAUUUUUCGAAGAGAAAUUUUGUUAAAUAUUGAUAAUACGCAGGGAGUAAAAUGGUAUCGCGAAUUGAUAAAGAAGAAAGAUUAGAAAGAUUGGAUAUUCCUUGGAAAAAAAUUCCUCAUUCAAAUGCUGAUCUUUUCCUGAUAAAUAAACGAUAUCACAAGAUUUUCGAAGAGGACAGAGCCGAAUAAACAUCUCGAGAUCGCAGAGAAAUUUAACACAGGCGCGAUAAUACGGCCGAUUAUUCAGCUAAUUAAAAUCAAACACAGUCAAUCGCGAACAAUCGACUGGUCGGAUUACAAUUCGUCUAAUUAAAUCAUCAAUUUGUAACGUUAUCGCACCGUUCAUCAAUCCAGAUUGAAACAAACAUCGGCCGAUUAACUCGUCCCAAAGGCACCGUUUUGUAAAGGAUCAACGAAUUUGACCAAUGUGCAAUAACUUAAUAUCUUUGAAUGACGAGAAACACGUUCUUACCACGUUCAUUUUCGUUAUUUGCCAUCCAUUCAACGUUGUGGCUCGACAUUGUGGAGAGACAAAUCAUCGAACGAACGAAGACGAGUUAUUAUCGUUGCUCGAUGAAGGGAUUGGAAAAAUGUCUUGGCAAACUAUUCGGCCGACCGGUUCAAUAUUGACGUUUACCGUAUAAUCGCUUUUAACUUUGCGUCGAGAACAAAGGAGAGGCGCAGAUCGACCAGAUCAGGCCCAUGAUUCCGCUCGUUGCCAAUUCGAUCUUAGCCAGAUUCACGGCUGUUCGAGCGGAGAGAGAUCCAGAGUAGGAGGAGAGUGUCUCAAUAUUCGUGGCAAUUGUCCUAUCUACACGGUGCUUCAGAAAUGGAUGGCGAAGUAUUUUUUUAACGUUAUUACGUAAAGAUUAUUCCAUGGAUUUUUCUUAUAUGGAAGAAAAAAAUUGAAUAUCACAGAAAAAAAAAAAAGAAAAUUUGAAUAUCAAAAAAAGGACUCCCAAGAAAAGUAUGGAUUAAAAGCUUAAAAGCUUGAAAUUAGUACGUGUUUCACGAACGAAAGGAUUUAAAAAGAAAAUCAAAUUAAAAUUUCGUUGCUAUGGAAAGUUGCUUAUUUAAUUUUUUAAUUAAGAAGAUUAUGAGAAUUAAUUAAAAUUAGCAAAGGAAUCAGUAAGUUUAAUUUUUGUAAAAUGAUACCAAAUUUUUUUGCAGUUGCUGGAUUUUCCUAAGAUUUUGAGUUCUUUGAAUGGCAAAGUACUUUGAAAGAUUUCUUUCAAAUGUUCGAUCGUGAUAGGGAUGUCUCAUGAUUGAUGUAGCUUUUUCAAGCACAACUUUUAGCACAAGUAAAAAGUUCUCAACGCUUCAAGGAUCAAAAAUAUCUUAUAAAAUUCUCGGUGAAUUUUCUUUUUUCUUUUUCACCCCUCCGUUUAAUCUAGAGGAGCUUUUCAUUAAGAAACUUUUUUAUCAAUCGAAGUCCAUUUAAUCGAAACUUUAAAAUAUUUAUAUCGUACAAACAUCGAAUUUUUAUUAAAAACUUGUAACAAUUCCUAAUCAAUCGAACGAGUCCAAUAAAAAGUUUGAGAAACUUGGUAACAAUUUUCUUGGAAGAAUUCUAAUAAAAAAAUUCAAGAUCAAUUGAUCUUUCUAUUUCCCUCUUUAUUGAAAAUAAAUUUUCUUCCUCCUCCAAGCAAGACACGUCCACAGAGAAUUCCAAGAAUUCGAAUAAGAAUAGAGGAGGAAAACUCGUCUCGAAAAACCUAAUUUCUAAACGAGAUUCGAGAAUUCUGAAUCGCUCGAUUUGCAAUCAAGAACUCUAAUCACCAUCCUAUCAAACUUCUUCGUUCGAGUACUUCUAUUUCUCGGAUCCCCCUGUCAUCCUCUCGCUACGAACUUUCCAGAUAGGCUAUCUCCUUCUCCGCGUUAAUUUCGUUCCGCUACGCAUCCUCAAACCGAGCCAUCCUGCCUCCAUCAAUUUCUUCCUCCCUCUCUAUCGCUGUUGAACACCCGUCCACGGAAUAUUUACCCGCGUAAUUAAUCGAUGGGAAGAGAGAGCAGAAUGGAAAGGAAGAUUACGAGUCGAAGGAAAGUAUAUUUCAUAGAUCUCGUUACUCACGGCCAAAUGAAAUUACGAGGGCUGGUUUGAAACAGGGCAUCUCGCCCGGAGAUUUUUCUCGCUGGGCAGCCACCAGUUUUAAUGCCGGGUGAUCAGCGACUCGAAAUGGAUUUGCGAACGCCGUAAAUUCAAUGGCCGAAGAGAAAGAGAGAGAAAGAGAGGGAGGGUAAGAAGAGAGAGAGCGAUCGUUGUAACGAGCUGGAAAAACUUGGAGGAGAGCGUAAGUUCGGAUUAUCUGGAUGGGUCCAAUUUCAAUACAAUGCUCUCGCCUUUCUUAAUGCCCCUUCAACGGCCAACUUUCUCUCGAGUGGAAGAGGGAAUGGAAACGCGGAGAUUACGGCCGGCAUCUUUUUCCGCUCGAAAAUACGCGAACGAAAGCGAUUACACGGUAAUCCGUGCCCUCGUUUAGCCCUCUGUUCGAUAAAGAACCGGUUAUUGGAAGCGUGCAAUUUUAUUAUACGUAUAUUAAAUAUCUCUCAUGGAAUAGUUUUCGACGAUAGUUGGAUAUGGAUUGGUUGGAGGACGAGAAAGAUGAGAAACGAAUAUGUAGAAAGUCGAAACACAAAUCGAAUAUUGGAAUAAUAUCACCAGUAUCAAUAUUUUUGAAACAUUUAUAUCUUUUCCAUAUAUUAUUUAUAUAUAUGGAAGAAAAAUUUUUUUUUGAUGUUAUUAAUAAUUCUUACAUUGGUUACAGGUAUGUGGAUUCAUAAAGUAUGCAUAUGGGAAAUACCUAGAAUUCGUGAAAAUUUUAUUUCCUAUGGAAUGAAUUUUUAGAGAGGAACAACGAUAGUGAGAGUGCAUAUCUAGGAUUAGAGCGAAAUGCCUAUGAAUUUAUUAUUCUAUUGAUAUACUGUUCGUCCAAAUUUUUCUAUCAAUUUCCAAAGGACGAGCAUAGAUUCUGAAAACUUUUAACGAUUCUAACAAUCUUCAGUUAAAAUCAUUAAUCGAAUAGAUAUUCCUAAAUGAAAAUUAUUAGAGGAUAAACUAUAACAAGUGUUGUAACAAAUCUAAAUCUCGAUUUUUCGAAUCAAAAAUAUUGAUGUUAAAAUUGAAUCUGAUUAGAAAUUUAAAGGAUUAUGAAUAUUAAGAAAAAUUUUAAUACGAUUAAUAUCUGAAUCAAAAUUAAUUUCAGAUCCUCGAUCCCAGAAGCAAAAAUUUCAUUAAAGCAAAAACCGAUUCGCCUCAUCGUCCCACUAUUAUUAUCUUUCACAAGUAUUUACACAGCUCGACACCGUUUCACCGUGCCGAAUUACGGUGGAUUGUAUCGAAAGUUUAAUAACAAACGGGGCCAUUCGUCGACGAGGUGUACACGCAUGAUCGCGGGCAUAUUGCACGCGGUACGCACACUGAGGGAUUGUGUCGGGCAGCUGGACGUCGUCGAUGGUUGAUCGAUCGCCUCGAACGAGAGAGCCCUGGACGCUCCGAUGGCCAGCCAUCGCGUUUCAUUUUACCGGUCGCCGCCGCCACCGCAUUUAAUUUAUUCCCGCGCUUCCGUUUCUCCAUCCAACCCCGCCGGAUUUCGACGUUGAUGCAUGCACUGUCCGCUUACUCGGUAAUCUUGAGCUUUGUCGCUUUGGUCGAGGCUUGAUUGAGCCGCUCUUGCCCUUGUAGCCGAUCAUGCCUGUGGAAAUUGUGCUGUGACCAUUUCAACGGUGGAUGGAUGAUAAUUGAGACGAUUUUUGAUUAUUAUUAUUAUUAUUGUUAUUAUGAAUUAAGAAUUAUCAAUUUUUGUUUGAUACUUUAUCAUAUUAUAUCGGAUAAAAUGAUACAGGAGAAUCGAAAGUUUAAUCGAACGAAAAUAAAAGUAUCAGGGUUGUCUAGAGUUCCCUAGAAUAGAUAAAAUCCACUAGGAUUUUUCUUUUCGUUUCCCAAUCACUCGUCUUUGUGUAGUUUCGAUUAAACGUACGAACUCUUCCCCAUUGAUCCAUCAUUAUUAUUCCAUCGAAUAAGUAAAUUGAAAUCGGAUUCAUCGAAAUAUUCUUAAAUUUACCGAACCGUGAAACACCCGCCCGCCAGUAUCAUAUGUCAAUCCCUUAACGAUCGAGUGGCUCACUUUUUCGACCAAUCCUGUUCACGAUUGCUUCGUUAUCUGCGCGUAACAACACAAUACGGUUGCCGAUUAGACAAACGAGAGCAAUAUAAGCGGAAACAACGACAAAUCGCAGCUUUUUCGACCAGUGUUCGAUUCGUUACUCGUUCCGCCGGCCAUUUUUGUGCGCGUUCGCGCGCAAUACCUUUGCCCAGUGACAUCUGACAAAUCCCCUUGUGACAUUUUGUCGUCAUUUUCAUCUCGAUCCCAAAUAAAUCCCCCUCUCUCCCCCCAAAAAAACAUCUCCACGUUGUUACCGUCGAAUCUUUACCGCUAGUCUCGUUCUUCCCUCUUGUUUCCCCGCCACGAAGAAAGACGAAAUUUUCCUUAUAAGUUUUCGAGAAUAUGAAAACUUUUCUUGAACCGUGUUCUGUUUUUUCUUUUUCUUUUUUUACAUGGACUCGUAUAAGUUGGAAAGAAGAAAUGCCCGGUUUGGGCGAUCCAGUAUGUUGAUCCAGUAAAAAGUUUGACGGAGAACAGCUGGUACAUUCUUGUUCCCUUGACGAGCUCGUGGCAUUGCGGAUUUGUUUAAUCCGACGUGCGGUAUUUUUAUCCGAGUUAUUUUUUCCUUUCUUAUUUAUUCCGCGAGAAAUUUCGGUAAAUAAAACUUUUUAAUUUUUCUGCGAAUACACGUUUUUUUCAUAAAUGAUCGUGAUAAAGAAAAUUUUCAUCUUCCUCUUGCGUUUCUUAAUAAUGAAAAAUCGAUGUUUCAUUUUAUGCAGGUACAAGGGGAUUAUAUAUAAAUAUAAAUUUAAUUUAGAAUUUAAUUUCCUAUGAUUAAUUGAUCAUUAGAGUGUUUCAAAUAAUUUAGAAUUAAUAAAAUUGUUGUUAUUAUGCAAACGAAUUUUAAAUGUCAAUUUUGUUUUAAAUGCAAGCGAAAAUAGAGAAUUAGGAGCGAAUCAGCAGCCAAUAUUAUUACUGAGAAUGUCUCCGACACGUCCAAACAAUUACUAGUAGAACAAGACCGUAAUUGUUUCCGUGUGCCUAUUACAAGGGAUCUAAUUAAGAAACGCCUAAUAAACGUCAGACGUACCACAAACACCUGAUAACCAGCCAAUGUAAUAAGAAGAUAUUGAACCAGCCUGGUCACUUGUUAAUCCUCCCCGUGUUUAUCUUUUUAUAUCCCAUUGUGCAACAUUUUCUUUGUUUAGAAAUUAAAUUUUAGAUCUUUAGAAGGAUCGAU